CCUUCAACUGUGGCAGGAACCAUGGCAGGUGUUUGGAUUCUGGUCUUCUGUGCAGUGACUUUUUGGCAUAAAGGCUCAGGCUGGCCCAUCGAUCAAACUGGAGGCGUGCAUCAUGAGAAGCAGACUGAGAGCUUCUUUUCCCAAAAUGAAAUGUCGUCGCUUGCUUCACUCCAGUCAUUGGCUUCCAUGUUGAGGAUAACUUCUACAGAAGUCCAACUGGACACCAAUGAAGUGGACACAUUGGCCCACAAUGU